ensembl:snRNA U6 U6 spliceosomal RNA
GUGCUCGCUUCAGCAGCACAUGUACUAAAAUUGGAACUAUACAGAGAAUAUUAGCAUGGGUCCCGCACAAAGAUGACAUACAAAUUCAUGAAGCGUUCCACAUUUGG